rnacentral:lncRNA from 1 species
AAAAAAUUUGAUUGAAGCUUACUAUUUUCGGAAUAGACGUUUAAAUGGGUAAUUUAUAGGUGAUUUUGAUGCAAUUAUUAUAGAGAGAAAAAAAUAAAACAACAAUAAAAAAAAUAAAAAUGUGAAAUGUCUCCAAUUUAUUUAUGGUCAUAUAAGGGAUAAUUUUGGUUAAAAUUCUCAAAUCUCUCAUCUUUCCUCCGAAA